rnacentral:rRNA from 1 species
GACAGAGGAGCCAAGCGUUGUCCGGAUUUACUGGGCGUAAAGCGCACGCAGGCGGCCCGGCGCGUGGGGUGUGAAAGCUGGCGGCUUAACUGCCAGACGCCAUCCCAUACGGCUGGGCUCGAGCCCUGCAGAGGUCCAUGGAAUUGCCGGUGUAGUGGUGAAAUGCGUAGAGAUCGGCAGGAACACCCAGGGGGAAACCAGUGGACUGGGCAGGAGCUGACGCUCAGGUGCGAAAGCGUGGGGAGCGAACCGG